rnacentral:rRNA from 1 species
UACGAGGGGGGCGAGCGUUGUUCGGAAUUAUUGGGCGUAAAGGGUGCGUAGGCGGUUCCGCAAGUCCUGUGUGAAAUCUUCGGGCUCAACUCGAAGUCUGCACGGGAAACUGCGGGGCUUGAGUGUGGGAGAGGUGAGUGGAAUUCCCGGUGUAGCGGUGAAAUGCGUGAGAUAUUGGGAAGAACGACCGGUGGCGAAGGCGGCGACCUGGUCCUUGACUGACGCUGAGGCGCGAAAGCGUGGGGGAGCAAACAGG